rnacentral:rRNA from 1 species
AAAUUGAAGAGUUUGAUCAUGGCUCAGAUUGAACGCUGGCGGCAGGCCUAACACAUGCAAGUCGAACGGUAACAGAAAGCAGCUUGCUGCUUUGCUGACGAGUGGCGGACGGGUGAGUAAUGUCUGGGAAACUGCCUGAUGGAGGGGGAUAACUACUGGAAACGGUGGCUAAUACCGCAUAACGUCGCAAGACCAAAGAGGGGGACCUUCGGGCCUCUUGCCAUCAGAUGUGCCCAGAUGGGAUUAGCUAGUUGGUGAGGUAACGGCUCACCAAGGCGACGAUCCCUAGCUGGUCUGAGAGGAUGACCAGCCACACUGGAACUGAGACACGGUCCAGACUCCUACGGGAGGCAGCAGUGGGGAAUAUUGCACAAUGGGCGCAAGCCUGAUGCAGCCAUGCCGCGUGUAUGAAGAAGGCCUUCGGGUUGUAAAGUACUUUCAGCGGGGAGGAAGGUGUUGUGGUUAAUAACCGCAGCAAUUGACGUUACCCGCAGAAGAAGCACCGGCUAACUCCGUGCCAGCAGCCGCGGUAAUACGGAGGGUGCAAGCGUUAAUCGGAAUUACUGGGCGUAAAGCGCACGCAGGCGGUCUGUCAAGUCGGAUGUGAAAUCCCCGGGCUCAACCUGGGAACUGCAUUCGAAACUGGCAGGCUUGAGUCUUGUAGAGGGGGGUAGAAUUCCAGGUGUAGCGGUGAAAUGCGUAGAGAUCUGGAGGAAUACCGGUGGCGAAGGCGGCCCCCUGGACAAAGACUGACGCUCAGGUGCGAAAGCGUGGGGAGCAAACAGGAUUAGAUACCCUGGUAGUCCACGCCGUAAACGAUGUCUACUUGGAGGCUGUGCCCUUGAGGCGUGGCUUCCGGAGCUAACGCGUUAAGUAGACCGCCUGGGGAGUACGGCCGCAAGGUUAAAACUCAAAUGAAUUGACGGGGGCCCGCACAAGCGGUGGAGCAUGUGGUUUAAUUCGAUGCAACGCGAAGAACCUUACCUGGUCUUGACAUCCACAGAAGUUUGCAGAGAUGCGAAUGUGCCUUCGGGAACUGUGAGACAGGUGCUGCAUGGCUGUCGUCAGCUCGUGUUGUGAAAUGUUGGGUUAAGUCCCGCAACGAGCGCAACCCUUAUCCUUUGUUGCCAGCGGUUAGG